rnacentral:rRNA from 1 species
UACAGAGGGGGCAAGCGUUGUUCGGAAUUACUGGGCGUAAAGGGCGCGUAGGCGGCCUUCUAAGUCGAACGUGAAAUCCCCGGGCUCAACCCGGGAACUGCGUCCGAUACUGGAAGGCUUGAAUCCGGGAGAGGGAUGCGGAAUUCCAGGUGUAGCGGUGAAAUGCGUAGAUAUGACACAGAACACCGAUUGCGAAGGCAGCUGACGAAACUGUAACUGACGCUGAGGCACGAAAGCGUGGGGAUCAAACAGG